rnacentral:rRNA from 1 species
GAUGAACGCUAGCGGCAGGCUUAACACAUGCAAGUCGAGGGGCAGCACGGGUAGCAAUACCUGGUGGCGACCGGCAAACGGGUGCGGAACACGUACAGAAUCUACCUUGAUCUGGGGCAUAGCCCGGAGAAAUCCGGAUUAACUCCCCAUAACAUAUAUGAGUGGCAUCACUUGAAUAUUAAAAAUUUAUUGGAUCGAGAUGACUGUGCGUCCCAUUAGCUAGUUGGUAGGGUAACGGCCUACCAAGGCGACGAUGGGUAGCUGGUGUGAGAGCACGACCAGCCACACGGGCACUGAGACACGGGCCCGACUCCUACGGGAGGCAGCAGUGAGGAAUAUUGGUCAAUGGACGCAAGUCUGAACCAGCCAUGCCGCGUGAAGGAUGAAGGCCUUCUGGGUUGUAAACUUCUUUUACCUGGGAAGAAACCCCGAUUUUCUAAUCGGGUUGACGGUACCAGAGGAAUAAGCACCGGCUAACUCCGUGCCAGCAGCCGCGGUAAUACGGAGGGUGCAAGCGUUAUCCGGAUUUACUGGGUUUAAAGGGUGUGUAGGCGGGCUUUUAAGUCAGUGGUGAAAUCUCCGGGCUCAACCUGGAAACUGCCAUUGAUACUAUUA